rnacentral:rRNA from 1 species
UACAGAGGUCUCAAGCGUUGUUCGGAUUCAUUGGGCGUAAAGGGUGCGUAGGCGGCGCGGUAAGUCGGGUGUGAAAUCUCGGAGCUUAACUUCGAAACUGCAUUCGAUACUGCCGUGCUUGAGGACUGGAGAGGAGACUGGAAUUUACGGUGUAGCGGUGAAAUGCGUAGAUAUCGGGAGGAACACCAAUGGCGAAGGCAGCUCGCUGGGACGGUACUGACGCUGAGGCGCGAAAGCGUGGGGAGCAAACAGG